CAUGCCGUAAACGAUGAUUGCUAGGUGUGGGAGGUCUGACCCCUUCCGUGCCGGAGCUAACGCAAUAAGCAAUCCACCUGGGGAGUACGGCCGCAAGGUUGAAACUCAAAGGAAUUGACGGGGGCCCGCACAAGCAGUGGAGUAUGUGGUUUAAUUCGAAGCAACGCGAAGAACCUUACCAGGUCUUGACAUCCACCGAAUCCUGUAGAGAUACGGGAGUGCCCUUCGGGGAACGGUGAGACAGGUGG
rnacentral:rRNA from 1 species